AUCCAGCUGACGAGUUUCAAUUAGGAUGAAACGCGCGUCCUGGAU
rfam:Schistosoma mansoni strain Puerto Rico chromosome 1, complete genome